ACGCUCGACACCUACGGGAGGUAGCAGUGGGGAAUAUUGCACAAUGGGGGAAACCCUGAUGCAGCGACGCCGCGUGAGUGAAGAAGUAUUUCGGUAUGUAAAGCUCUAUCAGCAGGGAAGAAGAUGACGGUACCUGAGUAAGAAGCCCCGGNUAACUACGUGCCAGCAGCCGCGGUAAUCUGAGCGGCUGGCAACGG
rnacentral:rRNA from 1 species